rnacentral:lncRNA from 1 species
CAAAAGGUAGCACUCCACAGUUAGAAAAUAAAAUUAAAAAUGAGCCACAAAAUGUUUUAUCAUCUCCUAUUCCUGGAUUUCUAAUACAUUAACCUAACUGUUUGUGUUGUACAUGUGCAUAUGUAUGUAAUCAGUAUAUUCCAUAGAUUUGAUUUUCAAAAGUUAAAAGAGUGAAAAUUAAUUCCUUUUAUGUGUAUCCAUGGCAACAUUCUGCAUUUAUUUACCAUAAAAUAUUGCAAAAAGGGGGGUGGACAUGUCACAUAUCCCC